rnacentral:piRNA from 1 species
UACAAACAAAAGUCAGGUGUGACUGCUCAGG